AACGAGCGCUGGCGGCAGGCUUAACACAUGCAAGUCGAGCGCCCCGCAAGGGGAGCGGCAGACGGGUGAGUAACGCGUGGGAAUCUACCCAUCUCUGCGGAAUAACGCAUGGAAACGUGUGCUAAUACCGUAUACGUCCUUCGGGAGAAAGAUUUAUCGGAGAUGGAUGAGCCCGCGUUGGAUUAGCUAGUUGGUGGGGUAAAGGCCUACCAAGGCGACGAUCCAUAGCUGGUCUGAGAGGAUGAUCAGCCACACUGGGACUGAGACACGGCCCAGACUCCUACGGGAGGCAGCAGUGGGGAAUAUUGGACAAUGGGCGCAAGCCUGAUCCAGCCAUGCCGCGUGAGUGAUGAAGGCCCUAGGGUUGUAAAGCUCUUUCACCGGUGAAGAUAAUGACGGUAACCGGAGAAGAAGCCCCGGCUAACUUCGUGCCAGCAGCCGCCGUAAGAC
rnacentral:rRNA from 1 species